rnacentral:lncRNA from 1 species
ACUUACUUGCACAACUUCCUCUUUGCUUUGAAAAAGAAAUGUGGGCUGAUGGAACAGAGAGGCAAAUCUUGUUGCCACCUAAUUGAUGAAUUUUGUCCCCCUUUAGUGGCUUCAGCACACUUGGUGUACCUUGUUAGUUGUGACUAAAAGGUGGAGCAUAUGACGACUCAAUGCUUAGCAGAGGAAAAGAUGCCCUCUGCUUCUAUUCGG